rnacentral:lncRNA from 1 species
GGACGCUGCUGCGGCCACGGCACGUGAGGCUGGAGGCACAGAACUUCCACGUCUGGCUGCACUGGGAGCCAGACCCCAGCUCACCCAGUUAUGCCACCUACGAGGUGGAGUGGAGGAACAGAACCUCGAACUGGACCAAGGCAGGUGCCUGCGGGGGGAACAGGAGAAGCUCCUGGGUGUGUGAGCUGUAUUUUGACAGGAUUCAUGAUAUCUACUGGGCACGGGUGAGAGUGGUGGCCGGAGGUGAGCAGUCCGAGUGGGCCAGUUCCAGCGAGCUGCAGCUGUACAGAGACACAAUUAUUGGCCCCCCCAAGUUGUCCUGGCUGCUCCAGGAUCAAAUCCUCAGCAUAAAAAUCAUCACACCACUCACUCCCUACAAGAAAAGAACUGGUUCCUACAAGCCAGUCGACCGAGUGCUGCUGAAGCUGUGGUACUGGCUGCACCUGUACGAGGAGGACCUGCUUGUCCAGCAGGUGUGUGGCAGCUGGGCAGGGCCCAGAGGUGCAGGGCUCACACAAGAUUUCCUGGUGCAGCAAAUCCACCGUCUCAGGUUGCAGUGGUGUGGGGAUGCUUGUGCUGCAGCCCUGCCCACACAUGGCUGUGCAUGCAGGUGUGAAGUGCUCUGCACCCCCAGUCCGGAGCUCCCACCUCAGCAAGGCAGGAGACCCCUUCCCUCCCCUGGGUAACCAGAACUGGACUGGUUCUGUUCAGAUGACAGGUGAUGCCACAGGUGUUUCAGGAGAUGCUCUGGGACCUGAACACCUCCUGGGGCAAAGAACAGAUGUGGAGGUGCCACCAUGGGGCAAGCCGGGAUGUUGGGGCUGCACAGAGCAGUGGAGCCAUGCACAAACCCCACCUCCAGCUGCUGUGGCCACCCGUCCCAUCUGUUUUCAGGUGCCCUGCAAACGGAGCAGUGAGAAAGUGCCUUGCACCUUUGGGCACCUGAAGCCCAGCACACAGUACUGUGUCCGGACGGUGGCUGCAGACAUUGCCAGGGAGCGGAGCCGGGAGGCUGAGCGGUGCCUGGUGACUCCAGCAGGCCCUGCAGGCUUUCCAUGGGUCCUUGCCGUGCUGAGCGCCUUCUUCCUGCUGCUGCUGCUAAGUGUGGCCGGGCUGUGCUUCAUUCAGCUGCACGUGUUCCCCAGUCCUCCAGAGAUCUGCCUCCCAAAAGCACUGGUGAGUGACCAUUCUCCUCCAGCUUGGAGCCGAGCCAGGGUUCCCUGCAUUUUCAGGGGCUCAGCACCUCCUUUCCUCCAACUCUCACACCACCAGCAGCCUCCCCUGCUGUCUCCACCCCUGCCCCCAAGAAGGUGGGGCACCAGCCAGCCGUGGGUCCCAGCAGAGGGUGGGGUGUCUCAGGCAGUGCAGCCCUUGGUGUUCAGCACGGUUUGUCACUCCCCAAGCUGGCAGGGCUUUGUCCGGCUGAGGCUGACCGUGUCACUGCUUGUGUCCUUGCAGACUCUCCAGAACAGCGAGCUGAGUGUGCCCACUCAGGGGCCUCCCCUCCAGCGUGAGGAGGAUGCCCUGGCGCUGCUCCUGCAGCCUGUGCUCCCGGCCCACGGGCCACCCACAGCUGGCCAGGCGGCAGCCGCGGCCCCACAGCUCCUCCGAGGCUUUGGCCAGGAUGUGAGUGGCUACUGUGCCAACGGGUUUGGCCCAGAGUGCCCUGAGGAAAGGGACCCAUCCUGCACCCACAGCCAGCUGGGCCACGCCUUGGGUUCCCAGGUCCCCUCACAGCUGGAGGAGGAUGGGGAGGCAGGUGAUGGGCAUGACUUGCCAGAGCAGCUGGUGCUGGUGGGACCGACUGGAAACAGCUACGUCGGUGACAGGGACAGCCAGAUACCUGAGCUAUGGCUCCCCCUGCGCCUCCAGCUUUAUUCGAAAUGCCAGUGCCCAGUCCUGGCAGCAGGCUCACACCUUGCUCUGCCCGUGCCAAGCAGAAGCUGCAGCCAGGAACACCUGCAGGAGAGUCCCGGCACGGCUGGCCACAGGAUCCGGCUCAGCUCCGUGAAGCUCCCGGCUGGGGAGGAGCAGGAGGAGCAGGAGCAGAAGGGGCAGCAGGAGGAGGAGGAGGAGCAGGAGGAGCAGAAGGAGGAGCAGCAGCAGGAGGAGGAGGAGAAGGAGCAGGAGGAGGAGGAGAAGGAGCAGGAGGAGCAGCAGCAGCAGGAGCAGGAGGAGCAGCAGCAGGAGGAGGAGGAGGAGGAGCAGCAGCAGCAGCAGCAGGAGGAGCAGCAGGAGGAGCAGGCUGAGGCAGGGCAGCUCCUCCGCGCCCCCCAAGCCCCGCUCGGCGGCGGGCCCGGCCCGGAGCGCGGUGGCAGCGCAGUGCAGCGAGGCUGCUCGGGGCAGGGAGAACCGUGUGCCUCCAGCCCCUGGCAGCCCCGCUCGCCCCUGCGGGCACCUGCCUGCUCCGGCUACGAGCCGCGGGCCCCCCUGGCAGCUGGGCACGGCGGGUGGGGGCACCCCGAGCGCCCCCCGCUCCCGGAGCCGCCCGGCCAGCGCUGGCUCCUGUCCCCAGCGGCUGCUCCCACGGACAGCCACACGCGUGGGCCACAGCUUUCCGCUGGGGUUUUGGUGCCCUUGAGACACAGCAGAAGGAGCAUGGACCAAAGCUGAACCUCCAAAACUCUUACCUAUUUAUCUGCCUGUGUGUGUGCAUGCACAGUAUAGUAUCUAUACUAGUGUAACAUAUAUAUUUAUAAAGCUCUUUAAUGAAAAAAUGUUGGGGUUCUUACUUCAGUAGUAAUGUUGAUUAUGUGCUAGAGUUUUGGUUUUUUUUUAAAAUAUCAGUAAUUUAUUACAGAAAUCUGGCUUCUGUACUCAUUGUUUGUGUGUUACAGACCCAUCAUGGCCCUUCCCUGUGCAGCAGUCGGGAAAGGCACUGGGUAAACUUGGCAUUUUCCUGGCAGAAAAUUGCACCCUUAAUCUCUGUCUUGCUCUCCUGUGGGAAAAGACUGGUUUUGAGCACCAUGGGAUGCAUUCAUUAUUCCUGCUGCUAGCAGGAAUCCUGGUGUGAUUUAUGGCUGAGGAGCCCUGCCCUGCAGUAGUCCCUCAGGAUGUAUUUUGAGGCUGUGCCUGAAGCCACAGAGGUCAGGGGAAACCUCCUUGUGCUGUGUUGCAAGCUGGGAUCAGUGGAGUCAAAAUGCAGUGACAAAUCCAGGCUCUUGGACUCACAAGAAUUACUCUGGAUCUGAGAACAGGUGAGAAACUGGUGUCUUAUGUCCAGGCAGCUGCUGGAGGGGAUGGAGGUACAGUGCUGCCAGUCCUGGGGAGCCUUUGGGGCUGUGCAGGGCCACGUUCCAACCCUGUGAGUCACCCCUGACACCCCAGCCAUGUUCCACCCCUGCCUCAUACUGCAGGCUGAGCCCUGCAGCCCACAAGGGUCCCUGAGGGAGCAGAGAUCCACCUGCAGUUUAGGGAGGACUCCACACCAGAUGCCCAAAGGAGACCAUGACUCCAUGAGAAGAUCCUAGCAGGCAGGACCUGUGACCCCAUGGAGAGAGGAACCCAAGCUGAAACAGGUUUGCUAACAGCAACUGGGGCCUUGUAGGGAGAGUGAUGGAGCAGCUUUGGGGUGUGUCUGGCACCCAGCCCAGGUCACUCCCACACAGACCAU